AGCAGGCUUCCUACAAGACUGCUGGCUGGUUUCCAUGACAACCAGCACUGGCAGCCUCCAAAGGUACUGACCGCUGACAGCCACCCUGUGGCCACCCCAGGCCUCCAUGUUUCUCCUCUCCAACCUAACUCGGCAAUUUAUCACCCCGAGCCCCUUCUAGCAUGCCCUGUAGGCUUCUCUCCACGCCUCUAAAUAGAAUGAGAUUCCAUGGCCCAGAUCAGGCCCUUGCUCAUCCCUGCUUGUAAAAACUCCCCCUCCUCUGAAUCUGUGCAGC
rnacentral:lncRNA from 1 species